rnacentral:rRNA from 1 species
GAGUUCGUAGGCGGAUUGGCGCGUCUGCGGUGAAAUCUGGAGGCUCAACCCCCAAACUGCCGUUGAUACUGCAGGACUAGAGUGAGAUUGGGGUAGAUUGGAAUUCCUGGUGUAGCGGUGAAAUGCAUAGAUAUUACUUGGAACACCGAUUGCGAAGGCAGGUUACCAAGGCUUAACUGACGCUGAUGGACGAAAGCGUGGGGAGCGAACAGGAUUAGAUACCCUGGUAGUCCAUGCCGUAAACGAUGCUAACUCGAUGUGGGGACCUUUCCCUUCACACACUGUCCCAACUUAAUCAUUAAGUCCCCCGGCUGGUGAGUUCGGACGAAUGGAUCUCACUCGAAUGAAUUGACGGCCGCCCGAACAAGGGAGGGAGCGGGUUAAUUCAUUGAAUGCCACGGAAACAACCUUACACUUGAUUGACAAAUGACGGAAACAGAAAUAGAUGCUUCUCCCGACAUUUUUCAAUACGCUGGGUGCAUGGCUGCCGCUCGCUCCUGUCGGGGGAAGGUGGGUUCCUGCCGCAACGAGCGCCCCCUCGUUCUAUGCUGCCAUUCACGUUGAGGACUCUACUCAUACUGCACUGCCGGGGUCAGCUCAAGAGUGAAGGUGGACGAUGAAAUCAAAUCAUCCCGUCCCUCUAUGUCUCGCACUUCACCUACGCUGCACUGGACGGAACGCAGGUCUGCGAUGACUGAAUGCGAAUCUCAUCCGACAGACUCAGUCUCGAUUGGAAUCUAGGUCUGCACCUCAUCCUCCUGAAGUCGGAGUCGCUCGUAAUCGCAGAUUGGCAAUGCUGCGACGAAUACGGGCCUUGUACUUGU